GACGAACGCUGGCGGCGUGCUUAACACAUGCAAGUCGAACGGAGUGGCGAACGGGUGAGUAACACGUGGGUGACCUGCCCUGCACUUCGGGAUAAGCCUGGGUAACUGGGUUUAAUACCGGAUAGUGUGGGAUGGGCCCGCGGCCUAUCAGCUUGUUGGUGGGGUAAUGGCCUACCAAGGCGGAGACGGGUUGCCGGCCUGAGCGGGUGGACGGCCACAUGGGGACUGAGGCACGGCGCAGACGCGUACGGGAGGCAGCAGUGGGGAAUAUUGCACACUGGGCGGAAGCGUGAUGAAGCGACGCCGGGUGGGGAAGGACGGCUUUCGGGUUGUGAACUCCUUUCACCAUCGACGCGGUAGAUGGAGAAGAAGCACCGGCUAACUACGUGCCAGCAGCCGCGGUAAUUC
rnacentral:rRNA from 1 species